AGCCCCUCUUCCUAUCAGGUGUGGGGGUCCUUCUGCUCCUCAGCUGGGGCUGAAGGCCAAGAUUGGCCCUCAGAUAUCCUUGUUAAUAUUACUGUGACCUCGAAGUCUUGUUUCCUGCCCAGGUCAUAA